rnacentral:lncRNA from 1 species
GGGCGAGGAGCCGGGAGCACGGUGGAGCGGUGGAGGGCGUCACUGGGUUUCGGCGUCUGGCAAGCGGUUCAGCUGUCUGCUCCCUAGCAGCCGGCCUUCGGGUCGGGCGUCUCCGCCGGCUACUGCCGCUUCAGUUCUCCCGGUGUGGCCACGAGUCGGGUUGCACUGCUGUGAUCCAUCCUCAUCUCCUAAAGAUGCAUCCUGACUUAUCUCCACACUUGCACACUGAAGAAUGCAACGUCUUGAUUAACUUGCUUAAGGAAUGUCACAAAAAUCACAACAUUCUGAAAUUUUUUGGUUAUUGUAAUGAUGUUGAUCGGGAGUUGAGAAAAUGCCUGAAGAAUGAGGUUCUUGCUCUGUCACCUAAGCUGGAGUGCAGUAGGGUGAUCGUAACUCACGGAAGCCUCAAACUCAAGUGAUCCUCCCACCUCAGCCUCC